GACGAACGUUGGCGGCGUGCUUAACACAUGCAAGUCGAACGAAGUUGCGAACGGGUGAGUAACGCGUAAUUAACCUGCCCUUCAGAGGGGGACAACAGGUGGAAACGACUGCUAAUACCGCAUAGUGAAGGAGGGGAUUGCGUCUGAUUCGCGAGUUGGCGGGGUAUCGGCCCACCACGGCGAUGAUCAGUAGCCGGUCUGAGAGUGUGAUCGGCCACAUUGGGACUGAGACACGGCCCAGACUCCUACGGGAGGCAGCAGUGUGGAAUCUUCCGCAAUGGACGAAAGUCUGACGGAGCAACGCCGCGUGAGUGAUGACGGCCUUCGGGUUGUAAAGCUCUGUUAAUCGGGACGCGGUACCGGAAUAGAAAGCCACGGCUAACUACGUGCCAGCAGCCGCGGUAAUAC
rnacentral:rRNA from 1 species